GGAAAGGCAUUCAGUUUUCCCAGUUCAUUUAGAAUACUUCAAAGAACUCACACAGGAGAGAAACCCUAUGAAUGUAAACAAUGUGGCAGAGCCUUCAGUUGUUAUGCAUCCUUUCGAACACAUGAAAAAACUCACACUGGAGAGAAACCUUAUGACUGUACAGAAUGUGGGAAAGCCUUUAUUUAUUGCACUACCUUUCAAGGACACAUGAAAAUACACACUGGCGAGAAACACUACAAAUGUAGAGAAGGUGGGAAAGCCUUCAGUCGACCCAGUUCCUUUCGAAGGCAUGAAAGAUCUCAUACUUAAUGGAAACUUCUUGAAUGUAAGCAAUGUGGGGAAAACAUCAGUUGGCCUUCAUUCUUACAUGGGAAAACUCCCACUGGAAAGAAACCCUAUAUGUGUAAGAAAUCUGAGAAAGCCUGAUACAAAUUAAUCCAUGUAUAAUGUUCCAGAAAAAAAUAACAUGAAAGAAUAAUUUUUAGAGUUACAUCGUCUUUAUCAGUGCCUCAUUCUUAAAGGGGAUCUCUCGACUGGAUAUUUACUACUUACGUUCAAAAAUGAACACUGAAGUGAGAUAAUUCGCGUCAUGUGGCCAGAACCCACUGGGAUCACACCAGCAGUCAACAAGAGUGGUGUCAUAAAUUGUAGUACUCAGACUGACCACAAACCCUAAAUGACUGGAUUUAUCAGUAAGGGUACUCAAAAGGAUUUACAAUUUGGCUUUUGGUAGGUGAUUUGAUUACUCUUCAGGGAAGCAAGAUGUUUCUGGAUGUACUGGAUGCUGCAAGAAGGUGAACUUAAUUCUAUCAUAGGAACUUCUUGGGUGUGGAAGUAAAUAGAGGGCAGCAGUGUAGAAAGUCCUGCUUUCUUUGAUUAACAGUAAAGAUUCGCCAUAAAGGUAAAGAUAUAAUAUGGUUCAUCUUCAUUUUUGCAGUUUCCUGUAUACAACAUGUGAUCAUGAGUUUGGACAUAGGUUUCUGGGACUUGAGACUUUCCUUUGAUCUGGCCACAGAUAUUUGUGGCAUCCAUCGUUUAAGAAACUAUUCACUUUAACUAUUUCAAGUUUUAUAUUUGGCAUUUUCAUUUGGCUUGUAUACUGACUGAAACAGUAUAUACUCUAUUAAACCCUGGAGUUCCCCCCAGUCUGAGAAAAGGUUAUGUUCAUCUGCACUGUUCUAGCCUAGCCUGAGUUUAUACUGUGAGUAGAGUGAUAUUUAUGUAAGUCUACUGUGACUUCCUGGUGGAAACAACAAAAAGAGCUAUGGAUGUUUAGAAGGCAAUCAUCCAAGGAAUAAUUGAGGUGAGCUACAGAGAGAGGGUAUCAUUUUGAGUAAUAUCCUAAUUUAAUGUGAAAGGAGAUAGUGGAAAAUUUUAAUGCCUUUCUGUAAGAGAAUUGGUUGAAAGCUUUUUUUUUUCAGUGACCCACAAAGCCUCAUAUCCCAUCUUACUGUUCACAGGUAUCAUUUCUAUAUGCUUAGACUUAAAGCACAUAUUCUAGAGUAGGAGGAUACAAAAGUAACAGCUCUGAGUUUUAUUAAAGAGCAAAGGAAAGCCAAAUUCUGUCCAUUUUUAGUGCUAACUUACAUUUUCUUAGCACUGUAAAGAUUGUCAUUUCAUAAUUAUUAGUCUCCCUUUUGACGUCCCUGCAAGUCAUUCCUUCCAUCAUUCCUAACGUCUUAACGAGAAGGUUAACCAUGGUAGAAGAGGUUAUUACCCAAACGUACAGAGCUCACAGUAAUGGAAUCUCAGUUUUGAAAGCCUAAUGUAUGCCAC